rnacentral:rRNA from 1 species
GACCAGACUCCUACGGGAGGCAGCAGUGGGGAAUAUUGGGCAAUGGGCGCAAGCCUGACCCAGCAACGCCGCGUGAAGGAAGAAGGCUUUCGGGUUGUAAACUUCUUUUAUGAGGGACGAAACAAAUGACGGUACCUCAUGAAUAAGCUCCGGCUAACUACGUGCCAGCAGCCGCGGUAAUACGUAGGGAGCAAGCGUUAUCCGGAAUUAUUGGGUGUAAAGGGUGCGUAGACGGGACAGCAAGUUAGUUGUGAAAGCCCUCGGCUUAACUGAGGAACUGCAACUAAAACUAUUGUUCUUGAGUGCAGGAGAGGAAAGCGGAAUUCCUAGUGUAGCGGUGAAAUGCGUAGAUAUUAGGAGGAACACCAGUGGCGAAGGCGGCCUGCUGGACGACAACUGACGCUGAGGCGCGAAAGCGUGGGGAGCAAACAGGAUUAGAUACCCGGGUAAG